GAGUCGGGCAGCGGCGGCGGCGGUGCUAUCAGAGGUGGCGGACGCCGGAGGUGGCGGUGCUGCGGAGGAGGAGGUUCUCUUCGCAGUUGCAGGGCUGGCCGCCGGCAAAUGGGAAGGGUUGCAAGCGACUGCAACCGACGCGUGGAGAGGGGACCCGGAGCGACUCGAGAGGCAUGCAGCCAACGGGCUCCCUGCGAUCUCUGUGCCUUUUCCUCUGAUGGCGUCCACCGAGCAGCCCGACUGAUCCGGAAUAGAGAGGGAUUCCUUCAGACAUAAAAGACGCUUCCGCCUUGAAAUCCUCACGCCUGGGUAGUCUGCGCGAGCACCCACGAGCUUGCUG
rnacentral:lncRNA from 1 species